rnacentral:lncRNA from 1 species
UCUACCGUGCUACUCCAAAGGCUCUCUAGGCCUCACUAUCAGCCGACCUUCUACAUUGAUCAACUAUUCUCUGAACUCCUUUCGAACAUCGUCAAUAUCCGAGCUUCUUCGACAAUGAGGUUUCUAUAGUAAUCGGACUCCAUCCGAGUUUCUACGGUGGUCGACCACCUUCAGGAUUCUAACUGGGCACCUGUGAGAGCCGAACUUCUACUACGAGCAGGUCUACUCCGAGCUCCUACAGUGAGCGGUCUGCUCCAAACUUCUACUACGAGCAGAUCUACUCCGAACACCUACAGCGAGCGGUCUGCUCCGAACUUCUACUACGAGUGGUCUACUCCGAACUCCUACAGUGAGCGGUUUGCUCCGAACUUCUGCUACGAGCGGUCUACUCCGAACUCCUACAGUGGGCGGUCUACUCUAGAUCUCUACUGUAAGCAAAUUCUAUUCGAGCCCCUACUGUAAACAUGUCUCUUCCGAACUUCCAUUACAGGUAGACUUCAACCGAGCUUCUUCGUAGCUGGAUCCCAGACGAGCUUCUACAGCAGGACAGGACCCACCAGCUAGAUCGCUACUCUGAGCUCCCACGACAAUCGAUCUUCGAUCGAGCUUCUACAAUAAGCGGUCCUCUUUCAGCCUUCUGCAAGAACCAGACCAUGACCGAACUUCCAUAGUGGAUGGAUAUCGGAUGAGCUUCUACGAUGGACGGACUCCGAUAGCUGGAUUCUUACAAUGAUCGAUUGCCUCCAACAUCUGCCGAACCUCCCCAGUGCCAUCCGAAGUCCAUCGCCGGCCAACCCUCCACCAGAUCCUUCAUGAAAUCAAACUUCUCUGACGGAUCAUCUUCAGAUGAGCUUCCACAUCAGUCGAAUCCCAGACAGACUUCUCUAGCAUUCAGACUCCUACCGGGCUUCACCAACAGAAAGUCUCCAUCUGAGCUUCUACAGCAGAUGACUCCCACCUGUAGUAUCAGCGCCUAAGGUAUCUAACAAUAGUAGACUCGUCAGCAGCUUCGAAGACAUCCAAGAUUCUCCCAGAUCAAUGGGAUAGAGAGCCAUUUUGCUCCAUCAGAUGUCCCAGCCGAGCUCCAGCCAAC